GAAGUAAAAGUCGUAACAAGGUUUUCCGUAGGUGAACCUGCGGAAGGAUCAUUACCGAGAGACGGGGCCUAUCCGGCCCCAACUCUUCCCCCGUGUGUACCUCCUUCUGUUGCUUUGGCGGGCCAUCGGGCGUUACUGCCCGGCGUCGCUUGGGAGACUCGCGCCUCUCGCUCGGCGAGUGCCCGCCAGAGGCUCUCUAAACUCCUGACUUAACUUUCUGUCUGAGCCAUCAUGGGCAGCCACUCAAUAACUUUCAACAACGGAUCUCUUGGUUCUGGCAUCGAUGAAGAACGCAGCGAAAUGCGAUAAGUAAUGUGAAUUGCAGAAUUCAGUGAAUCAUCGAAUCUUUGAACGCACAUUGCGCCCUCUGGUAUUCCGGGGGGCAUGCCUGUUCGAGCGUCAUUAUAGCUCUCAAGCCUUGCUUGGUACUGGGUAUCGUCCUUGCGGCGCACCCGAAAAACAGUGGUAGCCCAACCAGCCCCCGAGCGCAGCAAGAUUUUCGUAUCCCGCUUCGGACGUGACUUGGGGGGACGAGCCAGGAAACAAAAGAGUUGCGAAACUCCUCCCGAUUGACCUCGGAUCAGGUAGGGAUACCCGCUGAACUUAAGCAUAUCAAUAAGCGGAGGAAAAGAAACCAACAGGGGAUUGCCUCAGUAACGGCGAGUGAA
rnacentral:sRNA from 1 species